rnacentral:lncRNA from 1 species
GACUUAAGGCUCAUCUGGCUGCCUAUGAUCUGAUUUCACAUUCAUUGACACCCCAUUGGUCUCUCUUCCACCUCCCAAUUUAAUUAAGAUAGUUGGUGUUUAUGCUUUUUUGAAAGAUUACCCACAGCAUCCCGGAGAAGAUUUACAAAGUACCAUAACUUCCCAUGAAUGGUUGACAUGGCUCUCGGCGGCGUGACCUAACAGCAUUUCCUUUACUUCCCUGUCAAACCUUUCAUAGCUCUGGGCUUUCACUGAACAUUACUGUAAAUAGUUGGGACAGUGACAGCAUGUACGUUCAUGCUUCCUUCCUUUCCAUCCUGUACUGCGUUGGCGCUCUGAGUCUUGCCCCGCAGCAACUGCCUAGCUGAGGCUAUUCAUUCACUCAAUAUCCAACUCCUCUGGCAAGAUGCUGAUGAGAGGAGGCAGGACACUGCUUAACCUUUGCCUCCAAGGUCUGGAGACAAGAUGUUGACAUCGGAAACGUUGAACUGAGGCCCAGUGAGAAGUCCAGAGAACAUGCAGGCCACCGUGAGUGGCUUAUUUUUGGUAAUCCUUGCUUGAGUUUUUAAGAAGAUAAACUUAGCGGCUACCAGACUAGUUCUAUACUAGACUCAGCCAUGACUGGUUGUGGAAGCCAUUUUCACAUUUAGAGCUCUUUUUGGGCACUGGGGCAUGCCAUAAAUAGUUGCGUCAGCGACAGCGUGCGUGUUCAUGCCUAGCUUAGGCUAUUCAUUCACUCAAUAUCCAACUCUCCUGGCAAGAUGCCGAGUAAUCAGAGUAGUGGUGUGAGCAUUGGAAAGACUCCCUGCUUGGGGAGGUAGACUUGGUGGAGACCUAGACUUCAAGCCGCCUUUCUUUACCUGAGUCUGGGCUAUUGUCAGUGAGAAGGAAUACUCUUAGAUUCUGUUUUAGCACCGUGAACACAAACUUCAAAACCCCUUUUGCCUUUCUUGGUGGAAAGUGUCAAGCACAAGACCUUUUCAUACUGACAUGUAGAGUCAGCCGAGAGAGCACUAUUUAUUUUAGCCGUGGCCCAGGUCCUCCUGGCAUCCCCACUGGCCACUGCUGGAAAGUUUCAGAGAUAGCAACUUGUGUGUUUCUCCAGGGUUUUCAGUCCUGCUCAAUGCAGCGUGUGGAUGCUGCUCCCUACACAUUAGAGUUUUUUAAAAGAAAAAGAAAAAAAGGAAGAGAAAAUGAAAGGGAAAGGGAAUUUGUCAAGAAAGCACAUGACUUUGAAAGAUGGGGAGAUUUACAUUGUUGUUGUUGUUAAUGUAACUAGUACAUUAACCACAUUAAUAUUCACUUUAGUAACUUUAAGAACAGCCUUAAGCUGACUUGUGCUAGCAAAGGACCAUGAAGCUUUCAUUCAGUCCUGGCCGUACCAGUAACAAAUAGUGUCAUUUUGUAUACCAGUGAGCCUUUUGGGGUCAUUGGAACCGUUUGCCAAACCAGGAGGGCCUCGACUCUAACUUAGCCCCAGUUUAAGAUGGCUAAUUUGGGCUUCCUGAUGAUAGACUUGGGUUCCAAGGGUGUUUGUGGAUUCCCUGUGGGUUUAUGUUCUCUGUAACUCAGUUGCACUUGCAUUAAAACAAGGGCGAAAUUAGGAAUGUGACUGUACAGUACUGCUUGCUACAACUUGUUCUCAGCUCUGGGAUCUAUGCCCAGC